rnacentral:rRNA from 1 species
GGGGUACUAGACCAUAGUUGACGCUGAGGCACGAAAGCGUGGGGAUCAAACAGGAUUAGAUACCCUGGUAGUCCACGCCCUAAACGAUGAUCACUAGAUAUUGGCGACAAACAGUCAGUGUCCAAGCGAAAGUGAUAAGUGAUCCACCUGGGGAAUACGGCCGCAAGGUUAAAACUCAAAGGAAUUGACGGGGGCCCGCACAAGCGGAGGAGCAUGUGGUUUAAUUCGGUGGUACGCGAGGAACCUUACCUGGGUUAGAACGUAUGAUAGAUGUAGCUGAAAGGUUACAGACCUGCGAGGGAUAUCAUACGAGGUGCUGCAUGGUUGUCGUCAGCUCGUGCCGUGAGGUGUUUGGUUAAGUCCAGCAACGAGCGCAACCCCUACCUUUAGUUGCCAACAGGUAAAGCUGGGGACACUAGAGGGACUGCCUGCGCAAGCAGAGAGGAAGGUGGGGAUGACGUCAAAUCAGCACGGCCCUUAUGUCCAGGGCUACACACGUGCUACAAUGGUAACUACAGAGGGCAGCGACUAGGUGACCAGGAGCGAAUCUCGAAAAGUUAUCUCAGUUCGGAUUGGAGUCUGCAACUCGACUCCAUGAAGGUGGAUUCGCUAGUAAUCGCGCAUCAGCAAUGGCGCGGUGAAUACGUUCCCGGGCCUUGUACACACCGCCCGUCAAGCCAUGGGAGUCGGGGGUACCUGAAGUUCGUAACCCUUCUUUAAACGACCUAGGGUAAGACCGGUGACUGGGGCUAAGUCGUAACAAGGUAACCA